GUGGUGUGUGUGUGUGUGUGUGUGAGAGAGAGAGAGAGAGAGAGAGGGAGAGGGAGAGGGAGAGGGAGAGCGCUGAGUCACUGUCUCCCAUUUCUGGCUUCGCUUCUCACAUCCACAACCCAUGUGCUCUACUUCCAUUUUUUCCUCUCAUUCCUGUUCCAAGCACAUCUGAAGGGCCCUCCAGACUAAGACUCCACCAUGAGCACCUUUCACCUUGCACUUCCCCGACCCUGCUUCCCUUGUCCAGGACUACCAACAGGAUGCUGGACCAGGCUGAGCUGGACAGCCAUAGCCAGGUAGCCAGUUGGAUCCCUCUCCAGUGAUAACAAAGGUCUGGAGUCUCAGAGGGCUUUUCCUAGGACAAGACGUACCUCCAGAUCAAGAAAUUAUUUCAGCUGUGGCAUGAUCAACAAGUUCUGGAGCGGAAGGAAACCUUUCUAAACCACAAAUAACAAAAUACAUCUAUCUAUUAUGUCAGAAGACAAAGUUGUCUUUCUAUUCUCUGUACAUAAAAUGGCAUUGUAAAAUUUUUACCAUGUGAAAAAAGAUCAAUGAGUAUAACGCCAAAAAUAUAGGGAAAAGAUGUAUUACAUAGAUGGGUCAGCACUUAAGUUGUAAUUGUAGCAAAAAUUGUUAAUUAAAAC
rnacentral:lncRNA from 1 species